AAAAAGAAAGAAGGAAAAAUGAAUUCAGCUUUUUUUUUUUAAAGGAUUUUUUUUUCUUUCGAGUUCUCUCUGCUCCCAUGUUGGGUUUCAGAAGUGCUUGACCCAUAAUGAAUUCUAGUAACAAGAUAGUUUGUUUCUUCCCAAGAUUUAGCUUCCCUCAGACUUCCCAAGCAUGGUCAAGCCACGGAGAUUCAUUGUUUCAAUAGUCGCCUUCUAUAUCUUGCAUUAUUUUGAAUGUAGAUUUGAAAAUAUGUCACAGGGCUCAAUGUGGCUUCUUUUCCAGCAUGAUUUUCUUGCAUUUCCUGUCGUGGAGGAGGCCCAUGAGGAGGCUCCCCCGGGUGGACUCUCGAUGAAUCGCACGUUACAGUGGUCAGCUUCGUGGCACAGGCUCCCACGUCGAGAGCGUUUGCAGGGCCGUCCUCUGAAACGGAGGCGCGCGGGGCUCCCUGUGGUGCCUACCUGCUUGUGCCGCUGAAAUGGUCCCCCCUGGAUCCUUGUGGAGAGCGGCCAUCCCUCGGUGCAGGGCUUGUCUGCUGCCCUUGCCUCCCUGUGUCACCUGGACUGCCCCACAGCCUCUGCCACAAUCAAGCCUUUCAGUCCCUCAGAAGCACGAGGGUUUAGAAAGUCUCGAUGUCAUUAAAACAACAAGCAGGUAGACCAGGCAGCCGGAGCGUGUCUGCCGCAGUCUGGGCUGUGAGCUGCCCCUCACCUGCCCCUCCUCCUGAGCCUGGGCUGCUCCAGAGAGAACAAAAAGCUCUCCUCAUGGAAAGUUUUACUAACCUGGCCCGGUGCCCAGGACUGAGGCCUUCCCUGCAGCUGAGGAUGAUUGAAAGGGUCUGUGCGCAGGAUCAAACACGGCGUCGUUAGCGUUGCAGACAUCGGCUACCGCGUGAUGGAUGGAGUGGUGAACUCAGCCAUGCGAAUCAUUCAUUAGGGUCAGCGCUUGGUGCCCUGGGACUGCAGUGUGGGGGUUUCGAGGCAUAAAACGCACACCGCACACCACCAGAGAUGGAGCCUGCUGUCGGCGGGGCAGGCCGGGCCGGGCCAGGCUGCAGGAACGGGUUCUCCAAGGCCACCGGAGAGGCUCUCCCCGAUGCCAGGAGCCCUCCAGCCCCAGGCCCAGAGCUGUUCCCCAGGGAGCAGGCCCUGUCACUGCCCGAGUGAGGUGGCCACGGGAGACCACGUCCAGACCCGUGCACCAUAACUGCCUGAGUGAGGUGGCCACGGGAGGCCGCAUCCAGAGCUGUGCACCCUGUGACCGCCCAAGUAAGGCUGAGUGAGGCGGCCACAGGAGGCCACGUCCAGACCCGUGCGCCCUGUGACUGCCCGAGUGAGGUGGCCACCGGAGGCCGUAUCCAGACCUGUGUAUCCUGUGACUGCCCAAGUAAGGCUGAGUGAGGCGGCCACAGGAGGCCACGUCCAGACCUGUGUGCCCAGUGAUUGCCCAAGUGAGGCUGAGUGAGGUGGCCACGGGAGGCCACAUCCAGACCUGUGUGCCUUGUGAUUGCCCAAUGAGGCUGAGUGAGGCGGCCACAGGAGGCCACGUCCAGACCUGUGUGCCCUGUGAUUGUCCAAGUGAGGCUGAGUGAGGUAGCCACAGGAGGCCACAUCCAGACCUGUGUGCCAGGCAGCAGCGCAUCAGGCCAAUGUGCAGAUGUUGACUCACACGAUUCUGUUUCUCUCUAGAAAACUAGCUCCCACUUGGUGACAACCAGCCACUGCCAGGGAGACCACGGCCAUGGGUGGGACAGGCGAGAGCGGGUGCACGCCUGCUACUAAGGGAGCUCGCAGCCCAUUGCUGGAGCACCCAGGGCAGCCGCAGAGGCGAGGCUCCCCCUUCAGGAAGGGCCGUGCAGGGGCAAGGAUGGUGCUGAGACGCACACCAAGCAAGGCUCUCUAAAAAUAGGGGCUGCAUCUCCCACCCUGACUCGCAGGCUGUGAGGCCUCAGUGGCCCGUCCCUCCCUGAGGUGAGGGGGAGGGAGGAGAGGCACCCACUCCUGUGUGCCACCCACGGGCUGCUGCUCGGGGUCUGUGAGGUUCUGGGUGCUUUUUCUGGUUGCCUGAAGACAUUCAGUGUGGACCUCAAUGGUUUGAAUUCUACGCCAUUUCUCAUUGAAAUAUCCGUCUAUGGUCCAAUUCUGUGUACUUGAAAGGGAAUUCGGUGGGAUCAUUUUCAGCUAUUGACCUUCAGCCUUUGACUCCUUAAAAGUGGGUCUUAGCUUGUUCCCAGCAUCAGGUGGAGACUGUCUGAAAUCGGGCACCAGAGGGAGGGCCACAGGGUUGCAGCGGAAGCAGCAGGAGGGAAGAUUUCAUGGAGCUCGGGUGAUGAGCACUAUUCAGAUCUAACUCAUGCCAAAGAAAAUUCACGGCCUGUGGCAGCAGACAGAGAGCAGGCCUUGACAUUCAGCCGCCAGUGCGCGUCUGGGCAGCGUGGGGCGUGUUUGCGACGUGUUUGUCAUUUUGCGUAGGCAAGCUGUGAGCAACAGUAAGGCAUUCGUGAGUGUGUCAUUGUUAAUGCUGGCAUUUUUCUUGUGUAGAUACACUCUGUUUUCUUCCCACAAAUGGGUUCAAAUCUGUACAGAAACAUUUAAAAUGGCAUCGGCUCCGUUUCAAAUCAAGUCGCCUUGCCUCUUCCCACUGCCGUGCGUUUUCUCUUCCCGAUGUAUAAACGUUUCAAAGAGCUUCCUUAUUUAAGCAUGCACACUCUUCACAGACACUUUCAGAUUGGAGCCAGCGCAUCACACUGCUGUGCUGUAUCUCCAGAGCAUGCAGCCACAAGCGAGGUGUUUAAAAGCAUUGUAGCCACAUUCAGUGCCCAGCAGCUGACAGCCCGUCAGACGGAGGGAGGCGGCCAGGGCAGCAGAGGGCUCUGCCUACAUCUGUCAGACGACCGUGUUGCCACCGCAGCCAGGGCCCAGAACCUCGUGCUGCGCACCUGCCUCUCCCUGGCGCUCGAGCUUGGGCACGGUCAGGUGAUUUUCCUGAUACAGAAGUGUGUUUCUGCACGUGGAUUCCUGAGGAGCGGUGAGUAACUGACGCACACGUCCCACCAAGCCCAGGUCUCAAAAGAUAGGACAGUGCGAACCAUAGUGUCACCUCUGUCACGUAGUGUUACCUUCUGUCACGUGAUGUCAUCUCUGUCAGUGCCACGAGAGUCAUUCCCGCUGUCAGCCUUGAAAGCGAACAGGAGACCCAAAUGGCAGCAUCAGAUUGGUCCUGAUGUGCAGCUUCGUAUGUUCCAGCUGACCUGUUAGAUCUUCUGUGCAUGUUCAACUGCAGAACGGCGCUGCGGGCGGGCAGAACUGCCGGUACUCACCCUCCACCCGGGGGAAACCAAGGCGCAGAGAGACGCCGCUGGAUUUGCUCUGAGUCAGUCGAGGCAGAAUCAGGAGCGCCCCAGCGUCAGCCCCAGUGCCCACAUGCUGUCAAAGGUCCCAGCUCUACCACUGAGUAUUUUUUUCCCACUAGAGAUGAGAUGAGCACAGAUUUCUGCUGAGAACUCCUAACACCCGAGUCUGAGUUGGCCUUGCAAGCCAGAGAGGAGAUGGUAUCUGUUUUUCGCUGAAGAGUUUCCAUCAGCUGAGGCAUAUUUCACGGAGAAGGACUGGAGAGAAGCAGGCCUUCUGAACUGCCGGAGAGCGUCUUGAAUCAGCUCUCGCCAAAACGCGGCAAGAACAUGGCAACACUGUCAAAUCAACUGAGAGGACAGAACAGCUGCGGACACGUUCACUCAAGGAGAAGCAAGCAGCCCAGGAGGACGAGCCAGACUGUGGUGUUUUCACUUGGGCCCGCCCCACCCCUGCUCCAGCCCCGGGGCACACCGCCGUGGAAAGCCAGUGAUGCCACAGACUGCGGAGGAGCCGGGCUCUGUUGAAAACCCCAUCCCCGGAUACGGUCAGCGUUUGGACGGUCAUGGAGCUCCCUGGAAAAGCUCCGUUCCCAGGCGCAGUCACCGCUGGCUGUAGUCGUGACUGUGGGAGCUGCCCCAACCAGUGAUCACGAUUGGAGCAGACGAGCCUGGCCAGACCAGGGCACUGGGGACUUUGACAAACCUGAACGUUCCCAGGGACCUGGAGGACGGCACCUAUGAACAUGGACGUGUGAAUGCUCGAAAAAGAGAGGCCCCGGCCACGCCCCUCCGGCUGGUCUCCAAACCGCAGCAAGCAGAAGUGAGAGCUAAAGCUGCCUGUGGCUGGGAGGCAGGUCCUGGCACGCGGGUUUCGGGAUUAGAGGAAGGAGACUCGCUUCGUGGCUCCGGGAUUUAGGGAAACCUCCUGCUGGUAACAGCUAGCGAUUAAACUCUGCUAACCUGAGAGUGAUCCCUAGGCAGCCUGGUUUCAAGACAGAAAGAAGAUUUAAAAAGAGAGAGAACAGAAAACACAGUGUCCACAUACUGCAAGGAAUACAGCAUCUAGAUAAUUUGUCCAGGAAAGGCAUGAAUCACAUAAGCAACAACCAGGGAGAGGGAGAAGCUGGGAAACGGUCCUCCUGGGAGGGGCGGGCGGGGGCAGGAAUCUCAGUCCAGAGUCGCCAACCUGCCACCUCCAGUUAUAAACCAAAACCCACAAUUCAUGCAAAGAAACAUGAAGACAUGUCCCAUCCACAGGAAGAAAAUCCUGUAGCCCCUGAGAGAGCUUGAGUAUUAGACUAGCAAAGGCUUUAAAUCAGCUGAACAAAGAUACACAAAGAACUAAAAGAAACUGCAUUUAAAGAAUUACAGGGAAGUGUGGCAAAUAUAUCUCACCAGAUAGAGAAUACCAAUAAUGAGAUAGAAAUAUUUUUUUAAAAAGAGCCAAAUAGAAAUUAAAGGGUUGAAAAAUAUAAGAACUGAAAUGAAAAAUGUAUGAGAGAGGCUGGAUAACAGAUUUGAGCUGGCAGAGAAGAAGAAUCAACAAAAUUUAAAAAUCAAGAGGUUAUUUAGACUAAGGAACAGAAAGAAGAAAGAAUCAAUAAAAAUGAACACAGCCUCAGAGCAUGUGGGACACCAUAAACACAUAAACGGAUGCAUAAUGAGAGUUAUAGAAAGAGAGAGAGCAUCAUUCACUGCAGCCAAAACGCCCACAAAAUUCAAAUGGGAUAAAUUAAAAGCAGUUCAUAGACACAUAACCACACUGUUGAAAAUCAGAGAGAAACAGUCCUGAAAGCAGUAAGAGAAAGGCAGCUUCUCAGUAAGUGGGAUGCUCAGUAUUAGUAGCCAGCUUUUCAUUCCGAAUCAUGGAUGUCAGAGGACGGUGGAAUGGCCUAGUUAAAAUGCUGAAAGAAAGCAACUGUCAACCAAGAACUCCAUAUCCAGUAAAACUCACCUCUAGAGAUAACUAAACCUGUGCUCAGAUAAACAAGACAUGCAGAAUUUGUUGCCGGUAGACCUGCCUUGCAGGAAGUAUGAAAGGGAGUCCUUCAGGCUGAGGCAAAAGGCGCCGCUGAGAGUAAUUACAUAGAUAAAUUAAAAAGACAGUACAGACAUGUUUUAAACUUUUCUUCUCUGAGCUGAUUUAAAAGGAAACUGCAUAAGACACAGUUGCAAACCUGUGCCAAUAACACUGUGCUUAUAACAGUUUGUAUGACAGUGGCAUGAAGGAAGGGGUGGGGAAGGAAGUUAUAGCAGUUAUAGCAAAGCAAAGUUUUUGCAUAUUAUUAGAACUCAGUGUUAAUCUGAAAUAGACUGUUUUGAGUCAGAUGCUUAUUGCAAUUGCUAGAGGAACCAUUAAGAAAAGAACAUCUGUGUAUUUGAGUGUCUCACAUACACACACACACACACAAACGAACAAAAUGCCAAAAAAUGCAUUUAAAUGAUAUACUAGAAAAUAUAUGUGUAACACAAAGGAAGCCAGUAAUGAAGGAACAUAGAAAAAAUGACAAAGGCAAAAAUUACACAAGACAGGUGGAAAACAAAUAGCAAAAUGGAAGGCAUACACCCCACCAUAUCAAUAAUCACAUUAAAUGCAAAUAGAGUAAACUCACCAAUAGGAAGGUAGAAGUUGUCAAACUGGAUUUUAAAAUCAGAAUGAAACAGGAUACAACUAUAUGGGUGUCUAAAAAAUACGUACUUUAAAGACUCAAAUAGGUUGAAAGUAAAUGAAAAAGGUAUUGUACAAAUAGUCAUCAAAAGAGACAUGGAGAAAACGGAAAAGUACAUACUUCAGAUUUAAAGACACAGGUUGGAAGUAAAGUGAUGAAAAAGAUAUGUGGAGUAGCUAUACUAAUAUCACACAAAGUAAACCCAGACAAAAAUAUGACCGGAGCAAUGACGCAUCCAUGGUAAUAUUCCCUUUUAGCAUUAUAAAACUGAUACAUCCAUGGUAAUGCCCCCUUUUAUCAUUACAAAACUGAUAUGUUGAGCAGGAAGAUGUAACAAUUAUAAACACAUUUGCACGUAACACGGCCCCAUAAUACGGGAAACAAGAACUGGCAGGAUUAAAGGGAGAAAUAUAUCGUUAGAAAACGAUAGCUGGAGACUUUAAUAUAUCACUCUUUAUGGAUAGAACAACUAGGCAGAAAAUCAAAAGGAUAUGAAACACUUAAGACUAUCAUCAGCCAACUUUACCAGACAUCUACAGGACACUCUACACAGUGGAGUGCACAUAGAAUAUUCUCCAGGAUAGACUUCCUACUAUGCCAUAAAACAAGCCUUAAUAAAUUCCCAAAAUAUUCUGAUCACAAUGGAUUUCAACUGAAAAUCCACAAUAGAAAUUACCACAAGUAUUUGGCAACUAAACAACACAUGUCUGAAUAAUUAAUUAGUGAACUUAGAAAGUGUAAGCGAAAUUGGAAAUUAUCCUGAACUAAAUGCAAAUGAAAAUACAACAUAUCAAAAUUUGUGCGAUGCAGGUAAGUACUUAGAGGGAAAUGUAUAGCUUUAAAUGCCUACAUGAGGUGAUGGAUUUCAAAGCAAUAAUUUAAGAUUUUCCCUUAAAAAUGGUGACAAAGAAGAGAAAAUUAAACCCAAGGCAAAGGCAAUGAAAUAGAAAUGUGAGAAAAAUCAGUAAAACCAAAGUUAGUUAUUUGAAAGGAACAACAAAAUUGACAAAACUUUAAUGAGUUUUUCUAAUGAGAAAAGUUAGGAAUUAAAGAGGGGACAUUACUACUAACCCCUCAAAAUCAAAAGGUUAUAAGGGAGAACGAUAGAUAGCCUUAGGCCAACAGAUUAAACAACCCAGAUGAAAUGGAAACGUUCUUACACACGAAUUACCUGAACUGACUCAGGAAGAAAUAGAAAAGCAUAAUAGACCUAUAGCAGGGAAAUAAGAGAAAUUAAUAAUUUAACAUAUUCCCGCAAAGAAAAGCCCAGACCCAGAAAGCUUUACUGGUUAAUUUUCUCAAACAUUACAAGAGUAAUUCCAGUGCCAGUACUCAAACUCUUCAGGAAAUGAAGAAGGAACACUUCUAAUGCUGAGGCCAGUGUAGCCCUAAUACCAAAAUCAGAGGUAUCACUAGAAAGUAAACUGUAGAAAAAUAUCCUUUAUGAAUACAGGAGCAAAAAUCCACAACAAAUUAUCAAACUGAAUCCAACAACAUAAAAAAGAGAUUUUACACAUGACCAAGUGGGAUUUGUCCCAGUAAUGCAAGGUUAGUUUAACAUCAGAAAAUGAAGUCAUGAGAUGUAUCAUAUUAAUAGAAAAAGGACAGAAAUUACAUGAUCAUUUCAAUAAAUGCAAAAAAAAA